CCCAGAACACUUAGUUCUUGUCUUUAUUCUCUCUUCAUACGCUUCACUGUGGGAAAACCCAAACUGUCGUCUUUUGGUAUGGCUAAUCCACGUUUUGUUGCUUCUGCUAAAUGAAUAACAUGACCAGAUGUGGGACGAGAGGAAAGGCUGAAUUCGAGGGUAUCCUGUUCAGGUGACAGAAGGCAAUCCUGCCCAAGCGGCAGAGGAUAAAACACUUCCUUACAGUUCUUGGGGCUCGUCCGGGAUAUCAGCAUUCGGUGGCUGCCUGUGCUGUGAUGGUCUAAGACGCUGAAAAAGUAGUGUUGUCUCAUCCUAUAAUCUUGCACUCUCCACAUCAGGUAAAACAGGUCCUUCAGAACCUGCACACACAACACAUGACAGCUCAGAGAAGAUCCG